UUCCGGUUGAUCCUGCCGGACCUGACUGCUAUCGGAUUGGUACUAAGCCAUGCGAGUCGUUGUAGCAAUACAAGGCGGACGGCUCAGUAACACAUAGUCAACCUAACCUAUGGACGUGGAUAACCUCGGGAAACUGAGAAUAAACCGCGAUAGAUCAUUAUGCCUGGAAUGGCUUAUGGUUCAAACAAUUUAUUGCCGUAGGAUGGGACUGCGGCCUAUCAGCUUGUUGGUGAGGUAAUGGCCCACCAAGGCUAUAACAGGUACGGGCUCUGAGAGGAGAAGCCCGGAGAUGGGUACUGAGACACGGACCCAGGCCCUAUGGGGCGCAGCAGGCGAGAAACCUUAGCAAUGUGCGAAAGCACGACUAGGUUAAUCCGAGUGAUUUCUGUUGAAGAAAUCUUUUGUCAGUCGUAAAACCACAGACGAAUAAGGGGUGGGCAAGUCUGGUGUCAGCCGCCGCGGUAAUACCAGCACCUCGAGUGGUCAGGAGGUUUAUUGGGCCUAAAGCAUCCGUAGCCGGCUUUGCAAGUCUCCGGUUAAAUCCAGCUGCUCAACAGAUGGGCUGCCGGAGAUACUACAAAGCUAGGGAGCGGGAGAGGUAGACGGUAUUCGGUGGGUAGGGGUAAAAUCCACUGAUCCAUCGAGGACCACCAGUGGCGAAGGCGGUCUACCAGAACGCGUUCGACGGUGAGGGAUGAAAGCUGGGGGAGCAAACCGGAUUAGAUACCCGGGUAGUCCCAGCUGUAAACGAUGCAAACUCGGUGAUGCAUUGGCUUAUAGCCGAUGCAGUGCCGCAGGGAAGCCGUUAAGUUUGCCGCCUGGGAAGUACGGACGCAAGUCUGAAACUUAAAGGAAUUGGCGGGGGAGCACCACAAGGGGUGAAGCCUGCGGUUCAAUUGGAUUCAACGCCGGA
rnacentral:rRNA from 1 species